rnacentral:rRNA from 1 species
UACGUAGGUGGCAAGCGUUGUCCGGAUUUAUUGGGUUUAAAGGGUGCGUAGGCGGCCCUGUAAGUCAGUGCUGAAAUAUCCCGGCUUAACCGGGAGGGUGGCAUUGAUACUGCGGGGCUAGAGUACAGAUGAGGUAGGCGGAAUUGACGGUGUAGCGGUGAAAUGCUUAGAUAUCAGGAGGAACACCGGUGGCGAAGGCGGCUUUCUGGACAGAUACCGACGCUGAGGCACGAAAGCUAGGGGAGCAAACAGG